rnacentral:rRNA from 1 species
AGUCGGAAUCGCUAGUAAUCGCAGAUCAGCAUGUUGCGGUGAAUACGUUCCCGGGUCUUGUACACACCGCCCGUCACACCACGGAAGUUGGGGCGCCCGAAGCCACUUAGCUAACCCUUUUGGGAAGCGAGUGUCGAAGGUGAAAUCAAUAACUGGGGUGAAGUCGUAACAAGGUAAC